rnacentral:rRNA from 1 species
AUUGAACGCUGGCGGCAGGCCUAACACAUGCAAGUCGAGCGGCAGCGGGAAAGUAGCUUGCUACUUUUGCCGGCGAGCGGCGGACGGGUGAGUAAUGCCUGGGAAAUUGCCCAGUCGAGGGGGAUAGCAGUUGGAAACGACUGCUAAUACCGCAUACGCCCUACGGGGGAAAGCAGGGGACCUUCGGGCCUUGCGCGAUUGGAUAUGCCCAGGUGGGAUUAGCUAGUUGGUGAGGUAAUGGCUCACCAAGGCGACGAUCCCUAGCUGGUCUGAGAGGAUGAUCAGCCACAAUGGGACGGAGACACGGUCCAGACUCCUACGGGAGGCAGCAGUGGGGAAUAUUGCACAAUGGGGGAAACCCUGAUGCAGCCAUGCCGCGUGUGUGAAGAAGGCCUUCGGGUUGUAAAGCACUUUCAGCGAGGAGGAAAGGUUGAUGCCUAAUACGUAUCAACUGUGACGUUACUCGCAGAAGAAGCACCGGCUAACUCCGUGCCAGCAGCCGCAGUAAAAC